CGAGAACUCCACAGAGCAGGAGCUUGAACCAAGUCCACCCCUGAGGCAACUGGAAGACCAUAAAAGGGGUGAGGCACUCAGGCAGAUCUUGGUCAACCGUUACUAUGGAAACAUCAGACUUUCGGGAAGAAGAGAGAGCCUUACAAGCUUUGGCAAUGGCCCGCUAUCGCAGGAGGACCC